GACGAACGCUGGCGGCGUGCUUAACACAUGCAAGUCGAACGAGCGAGAGAGAGCUUGCUUUCUCGAGCGAGUGGCGAACGGGUGAGUAACGCGUGAGGAACCUGCCUCAAAGAGGGGGGACAACAGUUGGAAACGACUGCUAAUACCGCAUAAGCCCACAGCUCGGCAUCGAGCAGAGGGAAAAGGAGCAAUCCGCUUUGAGAUGGCUUCGCGUCUGAUUAGCUAGUUGGCGGGGGUUAAACGGGCCCACCAAGGCGACGAUCAGUAGCCGGUCUGAGAGGAUGAACGGCCACAUUGGGACUGAGAUACGGCCCAGACUCCUACGGGAGGCAGCAGUGGGGAAUAUUGGGCAAUGGGGGAAACCCUGACCCAGCAACGCCGCAUGAAGGAAGAAGGCCCUCGGGUUGUAAACUUCUUUACCAGGGACGAAGGACGUGACGGUACCUGGAGAAAAAGCAACGGCUAACUACGUG
rnacentral:rRNA from 1 species